CAGGCUCAGAAUUGACUCAAAAAAGGAUACCUCUAAAAGUGUUUARUUGUACCAUAUCUGUGUUCUAGCUUCGAGUGUUUCAUUUUCCCGAGAUAGCUCCUCCUAAGCAGGGUUACUGUUCAGAGAGUGGAAAUCUGAUUAAGUGGGUCCCAAAUAAACAUCGAAAAUGUCAAAAGCCUGGACUGCAAGCAGUGUCAGAGUUGAAGCCUGUAAGACAGAUAUGUGUUAAAGACCUUGCCUCUGAAAGUCUCAGUGACCUUAAAGAAGCGCAAAGCCAAGGACGAGACGUUGACACGAGAAGAAUGAAAUCCAGGAAAAUCCCUGCAGGAGGCCAGCCCAGUCUCAUGUAUCCAAAGAGAAGCCAGAUACUUAGCUGCCCAUCCAAAACAAUAAAAUCACUUCUAAACUACAAAACCGAAGGUUUUGCAGAAAAAGAUGGGGUACUAAGCCAGUCUUGCCCUGGACGGCUGCAGAUUGCAACCAUGGUGGAGCUGCAAGAUGAGGGUGGCCUGAAGCUGAUGAACAGGCAACCAGGCUUGUCUGAUGCUAAACCAAAGUCAUCCCGUCCCUUGCUGGUGCAAAAGGCUCCAGUAAUGGUGAAUUUGAAAGAAAAAAGCACACAAAGCAUCAAAAACAGCCAGUAUCUGAAGAAACCAACAAAAAUUAAAACCGGACCAAGUAUUAAAAUAAAAACUCCAGACAGCAUGCCCUUGUGCCUCUUUUCGAAACUGGAAGAACAGCCGGACUACUCAGAUCUGUUUGCAUUUCCUGCUGAGUUUCUGCAGUGCUGCRCAGACGGUGGCCCUGAGCAGCCCCCUGCCGAGCUGGAUCUGUCACCCAAAACAUUUAAAGAGGGCAUGCAUCAUGGAAAGGAGAGCCCUGUGGCACAGCUCGUGGAGCUCUGGAGAAGGAGAUCUUCUGGGAAGUCUGUGCUGGGCAAGAGUAGCACAGCAAAUCUGGUGCCUCAGGGUGUUGAAGAGCACAAGCAGCCUUUGACAAGAAAAGGGAGCUGGGACAACAUAUACUCCAGGCGCGCUGUGAGCAGGGAGGAUGGUACAUKGGCACUGUGCUACAUCCAGGAAGUCCAGUAUCCGGGCAGAGCAGUUCCACUAGCCAAAGAGGAAUUUGAAGAUGACCCUUCCUACAAACCACCGCCACCACCGCCUCCUCCUUCUCCUUGCCUACAGGAGGACUCUAAUGAGGUUUCUUCAGAGAGAACAUCCCCUGCCUUUGAAGGGCUCAGCAGUCAAGACAGUCUUAUCUGUUAAGCCUUCAUCAAACAACGGCUGAGGGAACCUGUCCUGGCACUGGCCCGCUCCUAUCUCAGCUCCUGUCUCACCUGUGUUUGGGGCCCCCUCCACCGUGUUUCCCUUGCCAGCCACAGGGCAGGUGAGGGAAGCAGCUGGGCACUUUCUACAGUCUCUAAAYGUUCAGGACAGGUAAAAAUCUCUGAGAUCUGAAAAUAAAAGAAGAGCUUCUCACUCUCCCA
rnacentral:lncRNA from 1 species